GGUUAAGCGACUAAGCGUACACGGUGGAUGCCCUGGCAGUCAGAGGCGAUGAAGGACGUGCUAAUCUGCGAAAAGCGUCGGUAAGGUGAUAUGAACCGUUAUAACCGGCGAUGUCCGAAUGGGGAAACCCAGUGCAAUUCGUUGCACUAUCGUUAACUGAAUACAUAGGUUAACGAGGCGAACCGGGGGAACUGAAACAUCUAAGUACCCCGAGGAAAAGAAAUCAACCGAGAUUCCCCCAGUAGCGGCGAGCGAACGGGGAGCAGCCCAGAGUCUGAAUCAGCUUGUGUGUUAGUGGAACGGUCUGGAAAGUCCGACGGUACAGGGUGAUAGUCCCGUACACCAAAAUGCACAGGCUGUGAACUCGAAGAGUAGGGCGGGACACGUGGUAUCCUGUCUGAAUAUGGGGGGACCAUCCUCCAAGGCUAAAUACUCCUGACUGACCGAUAGUAAACCAGUACCGUGAGGGAAAGGCGAAAAGAACCCCGGCGAGGGGAGUGAAAAAGAACCUGAAACCGUGUACGUACAAGCAGUGGGAGCACCUUCGGGUGUGACUGCGUACCUUUUGUAUAAUGGGUCAGCGACUUAUAUUCUGUAGCAAGGUUAACCGUAUAGGGGAGCCGCAGGGAAACCGAGUCUUAACUGGGCGUUAAGUUGCAGGGUAUAGACCCGAAACCCGGUGAUCUAGCCAUGGGCAGGUUGAAGGUUGGGUAACACUAACUGGAGGACCGAACCGACUAAUGUUGAAAAAUUAGCGGAUGACUUGUGGCUGGGGGUGAAAGGCCAAUCAAACCGGGAGAUAGCUGGUUCUCCCCGAAAGCUAUUUAGGUAGCGCCUCGUGAAUUCAUCUUCGGGGGUAGAGCACUGUUUCGGCUAGGGGGUCAUCCCGACUUACCAACCCGAUGCAAACUACGAAUACCGAAGAAUGUUAUCACGGGAGACACACGGCGGGUGCUAACGUCCGUCGUGAAGAGGGAAACAACCCAGACCGCCAGCUAAGGUCCCAAAGUCAUGGUUAAGUGGGAAACGAUGUGGGAAGGCACAGACAGCCAGGAUGUUGGCUUAGAAGCAGCCAUCAUUUAAAGAAAGCGUAAUAGCUCACUGGUCGAGUCGGCCUGCGCGGAAGAUGUAACGGGGCUAAACCAUGCACCGAAGCUGCGGCAGCGACACUAUGUGUUGUUGGGUAGGGGAGCGUUCUGUAAGCCUGCGAAGGUGACCUGUGAGGGUUGCUGGAGGUAUCAGAAGUGCGAAUGCUGACAUAAGUAACGAUAAAGCGGGUGAAAAGCCCGCUCGCCGGAAGACCAAGGGUUCCUGUCCAACGUUAAUCGGGGCAGGGUGAGUCGACCCCUAAGGCGAGGCCGAAAGGCGUAGUCGAUGGGAAACAGGUUAAUAUUCCUGUACUUGGUGUUACUGCGAAGGGGGGACGGAGAAGGCUAUGUUAGCCGGGCGACGGUUGUCCCGGUUUAAGCAUGUAGGCUGGUUGUCCAGGCAAAUCCGGAUAAUCAAGGCUGAGGUGUGAUGACGAGGCACUACGGUGCUGAAGUAACAAAUGCCCUGCUUCCAGGAAAAGCCUCUAAGCAUCAGGUAACAUUAAAUCGUACCCCAAACCGACACAGGUGGUCAGGUAGAGAAUACCAAGGCGCUUGAGAGAACUCGGGUGAAGGAACUAGGCAAAAUGGUGCCGUAACUUCGGGAGAAGGCACGCUGGUGUGUAGGUGAAGUCCCUGCGGAUGGAGCUGAGACCAGUCGAAGAUACCAGCUGGCUGCAACUGUUUAUUAAAAACACAGCACUGUGCAAACACGAAAGUGGACGUAUACGGUGUGACGCCUGCCCGGUGCCGGAAGGUUAAUUGAUGGGGUUAUCCGUAAGGAGAAGCUCUUGAUCGAAGCCCCGGUAAACGGCGGCCGUAACUAUAACGGUCCUAAGGUAGCGAAAUUCCUUGUCGGGUAAGUUCCGACCUGCACGAAUGGCGUAAUGAUGGCCAGGCUGUCUCCACCCGAGACUCAGUGAAAUUGAACUCGCUGUGAAGAUGCAGUGUACCCGCGGCAAGACGGAAAGACCCCGUGAACCUUUACUAUAGCUUGACACUGAACAUUGAGCCUUGAUGUGUAGGAUAGGUGGGAGGCUUUGAAGCGUGGACGCCAGUCUGCGUGGAGCCAACCUUGAAAUACCACCCUUUAAUGUUUGAUGUUCUAACGUUGGCCCCUGACCGGGGUUGCGGACAGUGUCUGGUGGGUAGUUUGACUGGGGCGGUCUCCUCCCAAAGCGUAACGGAGGAGCACGAAGGUUAGCUAAUCCUGGUCGGACAUCAGGAGGUUAGUGCAAUGGCAUAAGCUAGCUUGACUGCGAGCGUGACGGCGCGAGCAGGUGCGAAAGCAGGUCAUAGUGAUCCGGUGGUUCUGAAUGGAAGGGCCAUCGCUCAACGGAUAAAAGGUACUCCGGGGAUAACAGGCUGAUACCGCCCAAGAGUUCAUAUCGACGGCGGUGUUUGGCACCUCGAUGUCGGCUCAUCACAUCCUGGGGCUGAAGUAGGUCCCAAGGGUAUGGCUGUUCGCCAUUUAAAGUGGUACGCGAGCUGGGUUUAGAACGUCGUGAGACAGUUCGGUCCCUAUCUGCCGUGGGCGCUGGAGAAUUGAGGGGGGCUGCUCCUAGUACGAGAGGACCGGAGUGGACGCAUCACUGGUGUUCGGGUUGUCAUGCCAAUGGCACUGCCCGGUAGCUAAAUGCGGAAGAGAUAAGUGCUGAAAGCAUCUAAGCACGAAACUUGCCCCGAGAUGAGUUCUCCCUGAGACUUUAAGUCUCCUGAAGGAACGUUGAAGACGACGACGUUGAUAGGCCGGGUGUGUAAGCGCAGCGAUGCGUUGAGCUAACCGGUACUAAUGAACCGUGAGGCUUAACCUU
rnacentral:rRNA from 1 species